UACGGAGGGUGCGAGCGUUGUCCGGAAUUAUUGGGCGUAAAGAGCUCGUAGGCGGCUUGUCGCGUCGAUUGUGAAAGCCCGGGGCUUAACUCCGGGUCUGCAGUCGAUACGGGCAGGCUAGAGUGUGGUAGGGGAGAUCGGAAUUCCUGGUGUAGCGGUGAAAUGCGCAGAUAUCAGGAGGAACACCGGUGGCGAAGGCGGAUCUCUGGGCCAUUACUGACGCUGAGGAGCGAAAGCGUGGGGAGCGAACAGG
rnacentral:rRNA from 1 species